AAACAUGACGCUAACGACAUUGCUGAUCCUAGCAGUAUGCUGGACGUGUGUCAUAUAUGAGCUUCGUAAAGGGCAUUGCUUACCAUGGAGUCUCUGUGGCUCACUGGUAAAGCAUCGGAGCGCGGAAUCCGAAGGUUUGAGGUUCGAUUCCUCAUGGGAAAUUUUUUCUUUGUCCUACAAUUGUGACUAGACGAAAAACACCUUUCUCUUUUUCUUUACCGAUCUUAAAACUAACCAUCUUUUUACUCUAUUUACAAGGUUUUUUUUUUCAGUACAAAGUAACCAACUGUCGAAGUAACCGUACAAUAUCGAGGGUAAUUUGUACUCGUUGCGCGCGUUAUUUCUUUUUGAUAUUCCAUGUAGUGCUGUUGGAUUAAAAAAACUGCCUUUACUUCGUUUGUCUGGUGUGCAGGAAAAUAAGGCUUUAACACCAAUGAACCAUCGUAGUUCACGUCUUGCAUAUUAUCAAUGUGUCCCUUUCGUCUUUUCUUUCUAGAUCGAGAGGUCGUACUUCGUCAAAUGCUCUCAAGUAGGAUCGCGGACUGUAACAGCAAAGAUCAUCUAUACUGUAGAUGUCCAAGUAGAACCAAAUUCUUCGCCAGUCACCUGUACCUGUGCUAAGGAGGAAAGUGUUGUUAUCAAGACUGUUAUGCCAUUUGAAAUCUCUUUGUCUCUGACAGGUAAGGGAAAAUAGGCAAUAUUUUUUACGAUGUAAUUUUACGUCUCUUGGAAUCGAUCAAACUUGCUUUUUUGGCUAUGUUAGCAAACUUGCUCUCGCUCUUGUCUCAAAUUUUUUUAUUACAUUGAAAGUUAUGGCAUAAAUUAAUGCAUCUAUAAAUCCGUCAAAAGUUUUUGAUCGCUGCAUAACUCUACGAAUAUAAACCUGGUCUGGUGCAUCAAGAAACACUUUCUGACUAACACGCAUCUGAAUGAGGGUGCUGUGGUUUGAAUUGAUGAUUAGCGUUAAGUUGUCUUUUACCACGCGAUGAAAAUUCAAUUAUAAGGUUCCUAUACAAAGUAACGCAGUGUCUAGGCUAGUAAAUGGGGACCUCAGGCAGUCAGGAAGGCAACACCGCAGUAAACGAUGGUUUAAAAAUGAAUUUAUAAUUUCGCGAAUGGCUAAAUGCGUUUACUGCUUCUUGUAGCGCCACACGUCAACCGCAACUUAACG